AGCAGGUUUUCGUCAGAAAAUCGGUGAAAUCUGCCACCGAUCUUGUCUGAUCCGCCAGUUUGGCAAAAUCAGUGCCAAAAUAGUCUGGGCAAGGCUAAAAGCCACCUUCCCGGUCCUGUAGACCACGCUCAUAGCAACACUCAGCCUUCACAAGCAUCAUAAUGAAGAAAUAACCAUGGCCGGAAACCUCAAAGUACGAGUUGGGUUCAUGCAUGAUGAAUAGUAACGACUGCAGAACGACUACGAUGUCAGUCUGUACAUAGUGUGUCCCGUGCCGAUUGACCCGUCAGCUGGAAAGGUGCACGGAGACGAGACCCUCUACUAAGGAAAGUGCCUCGGUUAAAAUUGUAAAGUUUUAACUUUGCAGAAAGCUGUGAUUUUGUUUUUGGAAUAAUCAUAAGAAAUAUAACCGAAGUUGAUAUAGCUGUUUGAAGGAAUUAAGUGUGAACAAAAUUGUGAUUGAAUUGUCGAAUUGAGCGUUCUAAUCCGAAAGGUUGAUUACUUUGAUUUAACCAGUUUUAUCAGAACCAAACAGAAGUAUUGAUAUUUGAUUGAAGUGAAUUUUAAAUUGUGGUAUAGUCACGGUGGGAUUCUAGAUCCAAAGUAGUUAUAUUUGAUUGGACUGAAUUUUGAAUUGAAUUUUGGAGCUAAGGCUGAAUUUAAACAAGAGUUACGGCUGAAUUUUAGAGCCAUAUUCUACAGUUGGAUUUGAUUUUGAAUUGUGUCGUUGUACACUCAGUAAGAGAUUUGUGAUUUUUAGAAAUUUACGAGUUAAGCUUAAGAAAAUUAAAUUUGUAGACUAAGUUGUUGGAGUAGAAAGUAAAACUCCUAACUGAGAUUGAUUAUGAGAAGUUUGAUCCACGAGUCCGGAUCUUUGUAAAUAUUGUAAAUAGUUUGAGUUUAUGAAUAUAAUUAAUUGGUGAAUUAU